AAAUUGAAGAGUUUGAUCAUGGCUCAGAUUGAACGCUGGCGGCAGGCCUAACACAUGCAAGUCGAACGGUAACAGGAAGCAGCUUGCUGUUUUGCUGACGAGUGGCGGACGGGUGAGUAAUGUCUGGGAAACUGCCUGAUGGAGGGGGAUAACUACUGGAAACGGUGGCUAAUACCGCAUAACGUCGCAAGACCAAAGAGGGGGACCUUCGGGCCUCUUGCCAUCAGAUGUGCCCAGAUGGGAUUAGCUUGUUGGUGAGGUAACGGCUCACCAAGGCGACGAUCCCUAGCUGGUCUGAGAGGAUGACCAGCCACACUGGAACUGAGACACGGUCCAGACUCCUACGGGAGGCAGCAGUGGGGAAUAUUGCACAAUGGGCGCAAGCCUGAUGCAGCCAUGCCGCGUGUAUGAAGAAGGCCUUCGGGUUGUAAAGUACUUUCAGCGGGGAGGAAGGUGUUGUGGUUAAUAACCGCAGCAAUUGACGUUACCCGCAGAAGAAGCACCGGCUAACUCCGUGCCAGCAGCCGCGGUAAUACGGAGGGUGCAAGCGUUAAUCGGAAUUACUGGGCGUAAAGCGCACGCAGGCGGUCUGUCAAGUCGGAUGUGAAAUCCCCGGGCUCAACCUGGGAACUGCAUUCGAAACUGGCAGGCUUGAGUCUUGUAGAGGGGGGUAGAAUUCCAGGUGUAGCGGUGAAAUGCGUAGAGAUCUGGAGGAAUACCGGUGGCGAAGGCGGCCCCCUGGACAAAGACUGACGCUCAGGUGCGAAAGCGUGGGGAGCAAACAGGAUUAGAUACCCUGGUAGUCCACGCCGUAAACGAUGUCUACUUGGAGGUUGUGCCCUUGAGGCGUGGCUUCCGGAGCUAACGCGUUAAGUAGACCGCCUGGGGAGUACGGCCGCAAGGUUAAAACUCAAAUGAAUUGACGGGGGCCCGCACAAGCGGUGGAGCAUGUGGUUUAAUUCGAUGCAACGCGAAGAACCUUACCUGGUCUUGACAUCCACGGAAGUUUUCAGAGAUGAGAAUGUGCCUUCGGGAACCGUG
rnacentral:rRNA from 1 species